UGGGGAAUCUUGCGCAAUGGGCGAAAGCCUGAUCCAGCCAUGCCGCGUGGGUGAUGAAGGCCCUAGGGUUGUAAAGCCCUUUCGGCGGGGAAGAUAAUGACGGUACCCGCAGAAGAAGCCCCGGCUAACUUCGUGCCAGCAGCCGCGGUAAUACGAAGGGGGCUAGCGUUGCUCGGAAUUACUGGGCGUAAAGCGCACGUAGGCGGUCUUUUAAGUCGGGGGUGAAAUCCUGGAGCUCAACUCCAGAACUGCCUUCGAUACUGGAAGACUCGAGUCCGGGAGAGGUGAGUGGAACUGCGAGUGUAGAGGUGAAAUUCGUAGAUAUUCGCAAGAACACCAGUGGCGAAGGCGGCUCACUGGCCCGGUACUGACGCUGAGGUGCGAAAGCGUGGGGAGCAAACA
rnacentral:rRNA from 1 species